AUGGUCAGCGUCACCGAGCUCUGCCCGUUGUCCCUGGAGAUCGUCACCCGGCCCUUCAACGAUGAUCCAUUCCAUGGCAAAACCCCCGAAAUCGAACCCGGACCCUCGGCAGAGGAGGCGCAGGGACCCCCCGGGGAGCUGGAGGUCCCCCCCGGACUCCAGCAGGCACCAAUCCAGUCAUUUAUUUUUUGGACAUGUCCUCUUGUCCUUUCCAUCCCCCCAUCCCCAUCUCCCCUUUUUCCCGCAGGGCUCCGGGCGGCCGUGACCCUGCUGGAGUCCGGGGGGGACCUCCAGCCCCCCGGGGGGUCCCUGCGCCUCCUCUGCCGAGGGUCCGGCUUCAGUUUCGGCAGUUUCUCCAUGUACUGGAUCCGCCAGAGACCCGGGCAGGCGCUGGAGUGGCUCGCGGGGAUCAGGUACGAUGGUGCUUACACCUGGUACGCGCCAUCGGUGAAGGGCCGGGUGACGAUCUCCAGGGACAACGGGCAGAGCUCGGUGACGCUGACCAUGAACAGCCUCAAGGACGAGGAUUCCGGAUCCUAUUUCUGCGGGAAAUGUGGUUUUGCUGGUUGCAAUUACGAGGCUUAUGGUGUUGAU